ensembl:lncRNA
CUUAAUAGCAGGCUUAGACUGGUUCUGAGGGUACACAAAAGAAAAGGACAUGGGCUUAUUUCAUGUCUCUCCGUGAGUGGACAGGAAGAGAAUAAAGUCAGACAGAUUAUGGAAAAAAGACGUGUGGUGUUUGCCUCUAUGCAAAGCAUCAAGAGGAAAUCUUCCAUUGUGGAAAAAAGGUAGAGCCACAAAACAAGACAACAGUUCCAGAUCAACUCUGGAUGGACUCCUAUACUCAGAAAUGGAAGAUGACCAACUAUGGAAUAAAUUGAUAAACCUCUAUUUAAGAGGAAUGGCAGCUUAAACCUGCAUCACACACCACAGCCUGUUCUGCAGCAGCCUGUCUCCAAUCACACCUACCCCACCUACUACCCAAGGACCUUCAUCUGAAGGCAGCACACAAGCCAAAUCGUUUUGUGGGUAUUUAACCAGGUUAUUGCAAAAAAAAAAAAAAAAAAAGAAAAAAGAAAAAAAAAAAGAAAGCCAGAGACACUUCAUUGUGCUGUCUUUUGUCAUGUGAAGGGCCUUUUAUUUGUGAAAGCUCUGCUGGAAUAUGGAAUAUAUAGCAAAGUGUAAAGGAUCUAACAGCCUGGCCCUGCUUUCCCACAUUUUCACUGAUGUCUCCAAUUUCUUGUGAAUAAUUCUGGAAGAAUUCACACUAUACUACUAGGUUUACAAAAGGGCAUUAAAAUAAUAAGCAUUGAAAUUCACAUAAGC